CCUACGGGUGGCUGCAGCAAGGAAUCUUCCGCAAUGGGCGCAAGCCUGACGGAGCAACGCCGCGUGGGGGAGGACGCCCUUCGGGGUGUAAACCCCUUUUCUCGGGGACGAAGGCCUGACGGUACCCGAGGAAGAAGGACCGGCUAACUACGUGCCAGCAGCCGCGGUAAUACGUAGGGUCCGAGCGUUGUCCGGAGUUACUGGGCGUAAAGCGCGCGCAGGCGGCCCGCCAAGACCGGCGUGAAAGCCCCCGGCUCAACCGGGGAGGGUCGCCG
rnacentral:rRNA from 1 species